UUUUUUUUUACAGUCUAUGGCAGGGAACCUCAAAUCUUGACCUCGAGAUCCACUUUCCUGCAGAGUUUAGCUCUAACCCUAAUCACACACACACCUGAGCAAGCUAAUCAGUGUCUUCGAGAUCAUUAGAAAAUCGCAGGUAGGUGAGGUUGAUCAGGGUUGGAGCUAAACUCUGCAGUGCAUUGGACCUCCAGGGUAAGAUUUGAGGAACCCUGGUCUAUGCUGUGUGUGCACUUGGAUGGGAUAAAUACAGAGCACAUUUUCAAGUACGUGUUACCAUAAUUGGCCACAUGUCACGUCGCUUUCAUCUUUAUCUGACGCUUGUAAACAACUCUGGACUGCAGAUUCCUAAAGUGGCAUUUACUGCAUCCAUGUCAGCUACAGAGAGUACAAACCGAGGACCUUUUAGUACAGAGACUAAGCUCAUCUUUGAUAAAGUCCUAACCAACAUUGCCAAUGCAUAUGACCCAGUCACAGGUACUCAGGCUCCGCAUUUUCAUCCCAUGAUAUGGGUCUGAGCGUCUUUAAAGGCACGACACAAUUUGUGUCUUCAUACAAAUAUAAUUCUGGCGAGAGAAAUGACCAAAUGGCCAGCGGAGCUGUGAUGGAGCUGGAAGUUGGUGAGGAGGUUCACAUGAGGCUGUGGAUCAGAUCCUGGAUCUUUGUGGGUCGACACUACAACUAUUCCACUUACACAGGCUACCUGCUUUACCCACUGGAUUCUACUUCUGUAUAAUUUUUCUCUGUGUGUGUUAUUUUGUAAAAUUUCAGAAAGAACUGUUGAAUAUAUCAUGUCAGACCUGAAAUAAAUAGACCUGAAAAUA